UGCCAGACUCCUACGGGAGGCAGCAGUGGGGAAUAUUGGGCAAUGGGCGCAAGCCUGACCCAGCAACGCCGCGUGAAGGAAGAAGGCUUUCGGGUUGUAAACUUCUUUUAAGAGGGAAGAGUAGAAGACGGCACCUCUUGAAUAAGCCACGGCUAACUACGUGCCAGCAGCCGCGGUAAUACGUAGGUGGCAAGCGUUGUCCGGAUUUACUGGGUGUAAAGGGCGUGUAGGCGGGAAAGCAAGUCAGAUGUGAAAACCAUGGGCUCAACCUGUGGCCUGCAUUUGAAACUGUUUUUCUUGAGUACUGGAGAGGCAGACGGAAUUCCUAGUGUAGCGGUGAAAUGCGUAGAUAUUAGGAGGAACACCAGUGGCGAAGGCGGUCUGCUGGACAGCAACUGACGCUGAGGCGCGAAAGCGUGGGGAGCAAACAGGAUUAGAUACCCCGGUAUA
rnacentral:rRNA from 1 species